UCCGUACGUGAACAAGCACUGGUUGCCCAAUGGCCAAUCUUGGGAUAAAGGAAAACAGAGAGCAAGAGUCAACGAUGGUGUCCUGAAGAAGUGUACUGAGAUCCUGAACCAUAUGGUAUAGAAAAUUUUGAAUUGGCUGUGUGGUUCCCAUGAUGUUCCUGUGGGUCAGCACCCUGGAGAGAUUGUUCCAGCCUCGCUGGUCAGCAGAACAUCACUGUGCUGAGGAAUUCCCUGGAGGCUAGAUGCAGAAGCUGUGUUCUGCUGAGACUGCCCAGCUGGACCACAUUCCGGUUACCCACUCUGCUGUUUCCUCUAGGAAGAAAUAUGGAUCUCCUCUGCCCCCACAUUAGCCUGCAGUAAAUCAGGGUGACCCCUAUCUGUCAAGAGUAAGAAUGAGAGAGAACCUCCAUGAACCAAAGACAAUUGUGGCAAGUAGACAACCUUCUGGAAGGGCUACCUCCUUGGAAUCAUGUGUGGAGGCAGGAGCUAUAGGUAGGAGAAACCUCCCCAAUACAGUGUCCCUCUGGAGAAAAAACACCCCAAUGAAGCCCCAGAAAUGCAAGAAAUCCUCAUCCUUGUCCGGCCUGUACAGUUAUGUGAAGCCCUGGAAGAGAAUAAAAAAGAAUUCAUCUCAUCAUUUUGCCAUGCCCACAGUUCCAGGGUGAUCUGAAACCUCUAACCUCCAUUCACCUAGAGACCUGCACUUACACAAGCAUCCAAACAUAUAUACACAUAAUUUAAAAAUUAAAAUAAAUCUUUAAAA